ensembl:lncRNA TDH L-threonine dehydrogenase (pseudogene)
AUGCUGUUCAUUAGGAUGCUGAGGCGAGCGGGGCAGAGCCCAGCCUGUGGCUGUUGGACGCCUGUCCUGCCGGUCCGCUUUCUGGGCAUCUCCCCUCGGCAAAUUCCAGCAGAUGCUAACUUCCACUCUGCGUCUUUCUCUGACACAGACCAUCCACGAGUCUUAAUUACAGGGGCUCUUGGCCAGCUGGGAGUGGGGCUUGCUAAUCUUUUGAGGAAACGAUUUGGAAAGGACAGUGUGAUUUUGUCUGACAUAAGGAAACCCCCCGAUCAUGUCUUUCACAGUGGCCUGCAUAACAUCCUGGAUGUCGCUGCGGAACACAAUCUGCAAUUGUUUGUGCCUAGCACGAUUGGGGCUUUUGGACCCACCUCUCCCCGGAACCCAACCCCCGAUCUCUGUAUUCAGAGACCCAGGACCAUCUAUGGGGUGUCCAAGGUCCACGCGGAGCUCAUGGGAGAAAUUUCUGAUGCCUGAGAUAUCCUGGAAUCAUUUCAGCUGACUCCCAGCCUGGAGGAGGAACAACUGACUAUGCAGUCCAGAUUUUCCAUGAUGCCACAAAGCAUGGCAAAUUCGAGUGCAACCUGGAAGCCUGCACGAGACUGCCCAUGAUGUACAUUGACGACUGCCUCAGAGCCACCCUGGAGGUCAUGGAGGCCCCAGCUGAGUCCCUUUCCAUGAGGACCUACAAUGUCAGCGCCAUGAGCUUCACACCCGAGGAGCUGGCCCAGGAGGUCCUCAAGCACGUGCCGGAAUUCCAGAUCACAUACAACGUGGAUGCCGUUCGCCAGGCCAUAGCGGAUGGUUGGCCGAUGAACUUUGAUGACAGCAAUGCUCGGAAGGACUGGGGGUGGAAACACGACUUUGAUCUUCCAGAGUUGGUGACUGCCAUGUUGAACUUCCAUGGUUCUGAAAGCAGAGUUGCCCAAGCCAACUGA